rnacentral:misc_RNA from 1 species
AGCAGCGCGAGCAUUUCUCGAA